UAAGGAAUAUUGGACAAUGGAGGCAACUCUGAUCCAGCCAUGCCGCGUGAAGGAAUAAGGCCCUAUGGGUUGUAAACUUCUUUUAGACGGGACAAAACCCCUUUACGUGUAAAGGGUUGAUGGUACUGUCAGAAUAAGCAUCGGCUAACUUCGUGCCAGCAGCCGCGGUAAUACGAAGGAUGCAAACGUUAUCCGGAAUUAUUGGGUUUAAAGGGUGCGUAGGCGGACUAAUAAGUCAGUGGUGAAAGCCUGCAGCUUAACUGCAGAAUUGCCACUGAUACUGUUAGUCUUGAGUACAGUUGAGGUAGGCGGAAUGUGUCAUGUAGCGGUGAAAUGCUUAGGUAUGACACAGAACACCGAUUGCGAAGGCAGCUUGCUAAGCUGUAACUGACGCUGAGGCACGAAAGCGUGGGGAGCAAACA
rnacentral:rRNA from 1 species